rnacentral:rRNA from 1 species
UACGAAGGGGGCUAGCGUUGUUCGGAAUCACUGGGCGUAAAGGGCGCGUAGGCGGCUUUAUAAGUCGGGGGUGAAAGCCUGUAGCUCAACCACAGAAUUGCCUUCGAUACUGUAGAGCUUGAGACCGGAAGAGGUAAGUGGAACUGCGAGUGUAGAGGUGAAAUUCGUAGAUAUUCGCAAGAACACCAGUGGCGAAGGCGGCUUACUGGUCCGGUUCUGACGCUGAGGCGCGAAAGCGUGGGGAGCAAACAGG